CUAGUUAGGUCCUAGUUCGGUCCUAGUUAGGUCCUAGUUCGGUCCUAGUUCGGUCCUAGUUCGGUCCUAGUUCGGUCCUAGUUCGGUCCUAGUUAGGUCCUAGUUCGGUCCUAGUUAGGUCCUAGUUAGGUCCUAGUUAGGUCCUAGUUCGGUCCUAGUUAGGUCCUAGUUAGGUCCUAGUUAGGUCCUAGUUCGGUCCUAGUUAUGCAGUGUUCCAUACCAGAGCCCUGAUACAUUUUUACAUUGUAGUCAUUUAGCAGAUGCUCUUGCCCAGAGCGACGUACACGUUGGGCAUUCAUCUUAAAAAAGAAACUAAGCAUUUUCUUCGGUAAGUAACUAUUAGCAAAGUCAGUGGUAAAUAAGAAAAGACUAGUGUUAAGUGUCCA